GGAAAACCAUUCAAGGGCAGCAGAGGCAGCGUAAGUGGGCGGCUCCUGCGCAGGGAGGACGGCACCGGGCAGGACGUCGGGGCCAGGGUCCCCGCAGCACCGCACCUGCUCCUGCGUCUCUUUGCCGGCACUUGCGAGGCCUUCCUGCGGGCUGAGAGCGGCAUGGGUGCCCCGCGUCCCCUCCUGCCCGGGGUCACCUGCCACCCGACCAUCUGCCUCGGCUCCCGGGACGACGGCCCCUGACCCUUAAAGGAAACCGUCCUUUCUGCGCAAUGACGCCAAGCUCCCGCACGUUUCACGGGCAGGUUCUGCUCCCCUCUGGCCCCCACAGGCCCCCUCCCUGGACGGCGGCCAGUGGUGUAAAGGGGCCGGGGUGUGCAGAGGCCCCAGUGCCCUUGCACACGGGCGUCCAGCACGGCGCCUGCAGCAACCCCGGAUGGGCAGGUGCAUCGCUGACCGCUGCGUCUGCAGAAGCCUCUCCUGACCCCAGAGCCCUCCUGGCCCGGGGGCUCCCACCCACCUGCGCCCUGGCUCCACCCAAACUCCCGUGAGCGCAGAGGGUGGGCCGAGCAAAGACCCAGACGGGGCUAGCUGCCCGCAAAGAGACCUCACCGUCCAGCCUGUGCCACCUGAAAACACCGUUUCACGUAGAAAUCAUAAAAAUUUCUUAAACGUGGGGAAUCAAUGAACCUUUGAAGAAUGAUUGUUAAAUCACAGGGCCUCGUCCACACACGGAUCAGGGAAGGCGGCGGCGCCCCGUCAGGACCCACAGCCCGAGCCAGCGCCGGCCCUGCGGCGUCCGGUGAAGGAAUGAGUGGCCACCCCGGGCUUCUGACCUGUUGGGGAGGUGGGAGGCGGCCCUCCCUGUGGCCUCGGGCACCGGGGGGCCACACGGGUCGCCAGGAGCCCUCAGCCAUAGCACAGGGGAGCCAGCGGGUACCCAGCCGUCCCUUCCAUGCAGCCUCCUGCCGCCCCGCUCAGGCCGCCGGUUCUCUGCAGCCCCCCACCCCCGACGUGGCCUCCGUGCAGCUCCAGGGUUUGCUUCCCAGCUCACUGGCCAUUCCCCAGGGCUGCGCCUGGCGUCCUCAGAGAACCAGAGGCCUGGGCCCAGGACACGGGGGAAGGCAGCCUUCGGGGCCCAGUCCACCUGGCCCCGCACCCCACUCCCACCCAGGUGCCUUGAGCCGAAUAAGGAGGCAGAGACGUCUGAGGAGCAGCCAGGGGUGAGGACACGUCCGCUCUCCGUGUGCCUCGUUUGCACACACACGUCGGUGCCUGGCAGUUGGGGGACCCUUGCCACCGCGGCCUGGCCUCCCGCCCGCUCGCCGCCAGCCCUGCCUGUGCCCUCACCUUGCCCAGCGGAAGGGGUCACCCAGCCAGACCCUACCUGGUGGCCUGAAAGCGUGGGCAGGAAGGCCGGUCUGGCCCAGGCCUGGGGGGUCUGCCUCUGGGGCACAGGUCCUGGGGGAAGGGCCGACCCUCGUGCCCAAACACCCAGCGAGGGGCCCGGUGCCUGGGCGACUGCUCCGGCCCGAACGCGGGGCUCAGGGGCCUCGGCGGGUGCCGCGCACUCUUGACCCCGCUGCCCAGGAGCAGGCGUCCUCUUGGCCCGGAUGUCCCAGGUCGUCGGAGGAUCGCUGGAAGCCUCAGGGCGCCCCGUGGGCCUCUGAUGUCUGGCUGCAGGGCCAGCACCCGCCUCCACGCCACGAGGCCGUGCUCGGCCCAACACCGAGAGAAACUGGCCGCGGCGGCCGGGAAGUGUCUACCGUCAAACGUCGUGCACGGAAUCGUGACAGCAAAGUAACUACAGAGUGAUAAAAGGUAAAGCAAAUAUUAUCCAGGAGGAGCAAGAGCCGCGAUGACACUGUUUAUGUGAAUGUUUCCCUGGACGGAAGAGGCCAAAGUGGCAGCCUGCCCGCCACCCCCCCGACCCUGCGCCCAGCUGGUGACCCCGCGACCCCCGCCCCCAAGUGGAUCCUGACCAGAGCUUCCGGGUCCUCGCCAACCCGCACCCCCCCAGCCAGGGCUCGACACGCGAGCUGAGCCCAGGUGACCGGCUGACGUUGGGCCAGCAGAGUCCAGCUGCCUUCGGGGUCAGGAGAUCUCGGCCUCCACGCGCCCUGAGGCCUGAGCCCACGGACUCCAGGCUGGAGGGGCCGCUGCUCCCACAGCUACUUCUCACAAGGCGCAAAGCUUUGAGCAGGGCCCCGACUCUCGCGCAGGAUGCUGGGGCCCAGGCCGUGCUCUGCCCACGUCUCGGGGUCCCCUCAGCGGCUGGUCGGUGCAGGGGGGCUGCUGAGGGUCAGAGCGGCCUGGAGGGGCCACGUGGCCUCCACGCCCUGGGAGUCUGGACACCACCCAGGGGCCCCCCGCCCAAACCUCCACCUGCUUCUGAGCCGCCCACCUGGACAUGUCACUCAGUUUGCAAAAUACCAGGUCACACAGAGACAUUAGAAUUUGUCACAAAAAAAAAAAAAAAAAAAUGUCGAUUUGUCGCAACAUUUGAAGAAGCCCAAGACGGCAGCUCCGCGUAGGCAGAAAGGGGCCCCCGCUGCUCCGGGCGCGGCGCCGGGGCCUACAGCAGAGGGGCUGGGACCCCGAGGGCCAUCCCCCCGCCGCCCGCUGGCCCGGGGAGUCCCAGGACCCCCUUCCGGCUGGGGACGGAGGGCCCGUGAGUCCAGGCCGCGCCCCCGGGCCCAGGCCCCGAAGCCGUAGUCGUGGCUGCGCCGCAGCUCGCGGUCCUGCCCGGUGCCUCCGCAGGGGCUGCUCUGGCUCCGGGGCUGGAGUCGUCCCCCGCGGGGCCCCAGACAUGCGGAGCAGGUGUCUGCAGCACGUGUCUGCGGGCGGGGGCAGCUGCCACCGGGCUGGCGGGAUGCCGGGCCAGGGCCAGAGUUCAGCUGUCCCCGGGGCUGGACACGAGGGACCCUGGCCACGGGGCAGGAGGGCUCUGAGUCAGCCUUAGCCCGGGGCAGCUGGCCGCGGGGUGAGCCUGAGGGACUCCCCGGCAAGUGGGCACGGCCCCCGGCCUCGGCGCAGCUCCAGCCCCCCUGCCUGGGCCCAGCCUCCACUCACAGGGUCCUAGGGUGCUCCUGCCACGUCCCAAGGCUCAGGUGCCCCAGGCGGGCCAUGGGUGCCCGGGUGGCAGGUGCCUGGCGGCCUGUGGCCCAGAAGCUAUGGACCUUGCUCUAAAGGAGCCCGCCCGGGGGAUCCCUGGGUGGCGCAGCGGUUUGGCGCCUGCCUUUGGCCCGGGGCGCGAUCCUGGAGACCCGGGAUCGAAUCCCACAUCGGGCUCCCGGUGCAUGGAGCCUGCUUCUCCCUCUGCCUGUGUCUCUGCCUCUCUCUCUCUCACUGUGUGCCUAUCAUAAAUAAAUUUAAAAAAUUAAAAAAAAAAAUAAAUAAAUAAAGGAGCCCGCCCAGCGAGAUCUGUUUCUCCUGGCGACGAAGAUUGGGACGCCCUGAGCCGUCGGGGCGCCGUUGAGGCCGGUGCCCCCGGGGGGCAAACCCGACCUGCUGAAGCACACGGGCCUGGGGACCGAGGAAGGACGGAGCCUGAGGGUUCCCCACCGGAAGGGCCUGGGCCGCCACGCUGCAGGGCCCCAGGGGCGGGGAGAGCCAGGCCGCCUUGGCCGUAAACAGCCAUUACGCUGAUCACAGGCCCCAAGGCUAAUUACGGCCGGCGGGGAAGGCGGGGAAUGUUUGCCCUGACGGGGAGGAACGUGGGCUAAGGUCCCAACCCAACCCGCCUUGCAGGGCAGUUUCCAAGGUCACCUCCGGCCUCCCCUGCUCCUCCCCUCGGCAGCGGGGCAGGACCACACGGGGACAACGGAGGCUCAGAGGGCCAGUGGCGUCUGCCUACAGGAUCCGUCUUGCGAGCCAGGGCUGACAGCUCAGGUUCAAGGGAGAGAGUAAGCCCUGAUGCUUCUGUGAUGCAGGUGCUACGUGUGGACCUUGUGAGCCAUCUGGAGCCCCGGGGACAAAGGCAAGGAGGCGGCGGCGACUGAGGCCCUCCUCCACAUGGCCUGGUGCCAGCAGCACAAGUGUCACCCCAUGGCCCCCUAGCCCAUUGCCAAGGAGCUAAGGGUCAGAACAGCCUCACUGAACGUGGUAGAGGCCAUGAGGCCGCCAUGCAGGCUUCUGCUCAGGGACAGGGUGGACAGGCCCAGGU
rnacentral:lncRNA from 1 species